rnacentral:rRNA from 1 species
UUAAAUUGAAGAGUUUGAUCAUGGCUCAGAUUGAACGCUGGCGGCAGGCCUAACACAUGCAAGUCGAACGGUAACAGGAAACAGCUUGCUGCUUCGCUGACGAGUGGCGGACG